GGUGCACCAUAAAAUUAAAAGAAAACUUCAAAUACCCUCUUGUGGUUUCAUUUUUUCUCAUUUUAGUACUCUAUGCUUUAAAGUGUAUCAAAAUUAGUACCCUGUGGUUUUGCACUUUUUAACUUUAGUACCCUGUGGUUUAAAGUGUAUCAAUUUAGUACCCCGUGGUUUCACACUUUCUUACAUUAGUACCGUGUGGUUUCACACUUUCUCACUUUAGUACCGUGUGGUUUCACACUUUCUUACUUUAGUACUCUGUGGUUUAAAAACCACAUGGUACUAACUUGAUACAAAAAUAAAAUAAUAGAGUACUAACUUGAUAUACUUUAAACCACAGGGUACUAAAGUGAAAAAAUACGAAACCACAGGGUACUAACUUGAUACACUUUAAACCACAGGAUACUAAAAUGAAAAAGUACAAAAUCACAAAGAGGGUUUUUGAAGUUUCCCUAAAAUUAAUUUUAAUUUUAAUUUUUAAAAUUUAUAAUUUUAUAUAAUAAUUCUGCAUUUUUUAGUAUUUAAGAUUUACAAUUUUAAAUUUUAAAUUUUAAACUA
rnacentral:lncRNA from 1 species